UUGGCUACCUUGUUGCCUGGAUAUCAGGUGGUGCAGGAUAACCAGACGAAGAGCAGACAUUAUUCAUUCUUAUAAUGGACACAGCAGGGAUAGCGGACUUUCCACUGGCUCGCAGGGACAUGCGAAAGGCAUUUUGUUUCAGAAAACAUGAAAGGCGAAAUGGAGGAACAAACUGUCAUUUGGAAGUCUAUCGCGGAUGUGUUUUAUGAAUAAUUCAGCUGUGCAGCAUCCAUACAUGGCAUCCUUGGCAUUACCAAGAACUGGGAUGUGACAGGCUCUGUGAUUACGAUAUGUACUGCCAAUCACAGGAAUCUCAGACCAUCAUGGAAGCCACAAUGUGGGGUGUUAGCAGCGACCGAAUGGCCAUUGCUGAUAGGCCAGGAGGCGGGGCUACCUGAGAGGAAGCUGGCGUUGCGCCGGUCGGCGUUCUGCUUGCGCAGACAGAAG